UGGGGAAUAUUGCACAAUGGGCGCAAGCCUGAUGCAGCGACGCCGCGUGGGGGAUGACGGCCUUCGGGUUGUAAACUCCUUUCGCUAGGGACGAAGCUUUUUGUGACGGUACCUAGAUAAGAAGCACCGGCUAACUACGUGCCAGCAGCCGCGGUAAUACGCAGGGUGCGAGCGUUGUCCGGAAUUACUGGGCGUAAAGGGCUCGUAGGUGGUUUGUAGCGUCGUCUGUGAAAUUCCGGGGCUUAACUCCGGGCGUGCAGGCGAUACGGGCAUAGCUUGAGUACUGUAGGGGUAACUGGAAUUCCUGGUGUAGCGGUGAAAUGCGCAGAUAUCAGGAGGAACACCGAUGGCGAAGGCAGGUUACUGGGCAGUUACUGACGCUGAGGAGCGAAAGCAUGGGUAGCAAACAGG
rnacentral:rRNA from 1 species